rnacentral:rRNA from 1 species
AUGAGGACCUGCGCUCUCCUCCUCGCUGUCACCGUCGCCGCCGCGGCGUUCGGCGGCGCACAAGCCGUUGGGAGACGAAGUUUCUGGCGGCCUCGGUGGCAGCCACUGCCAACGCCGCCUGCGAUCGUCGCCACGUGCCAGGCGGCCCACGACGCCGACAAGCGCGUCAACGUCACCUUCUGCACGAAUAUCUUUGGCCUGUUAAGACCGCACGACAGCACCGUGCGGGGCCUCGCCCAGGCCGCCGCAUCCAUGGGCGCCGGUCGCGCCGACACCGCGCAGACCACGAUCGACAGGACGCUCAGUCAGGGCGGCGUCGACGAUCCGAGAGCCAGGCGCGCGCUGGAGCGGUGCGACCGGCUGUACGGCUCCGCCGCUGCGGCCUUCAAUGCGGCGGGCAAGGCGAUCACGGAGGGGCGGUACGCCGACGUCGGGCGGUCGCUGGAGGGGGUCUCGGAGCUGGGGCGCCAGUGCGACUCGGAGAACCCCCCGGCCAGCAGUGGCAAUCUGGCGCCGCUCUGGAUCUUCAGCAGGGCAAACGAGCAGCUCACGUACCUCACCAUCGCCAUCACGAGCCUGAUCAAGUGA